UGCCAGCCGCCGCGGUAAUACGGAGGGUGCAAGCGUUAAUCGGAAUCACUGGGCGUAAAGCGCGCGUAGGCGGUUGUGUAAGUCGGAUGUGAAAGCCCAGGGCUUAACCUUGGAACUGCAUUCGAUACUGCAUGACUAGAGUGUGGUAGAGGGAAGUGGAAUUUCCGGUGUAGCGGUGAAAUGCGUAGAUAUCGGAAGGAACAUCAGUGGCGAAGGCGACUUUCUGGACUGUACCUGACGCUGAGGCGCGAAAGCAUGGGUAGCGAACAGGAUUAGAUA
rnacentral:rRNA from 1 species